GAGACACCCUUAUGGGGCAGGACUUGCUUCAGUGGGGCUUUGGUGCUCACUGAGUCUGCCCCUUGAAUGUGUCUCU
rnacentral:pre_miRNA from 2 species